UCAUUUGGUAGACCCAAAAAAGAAAAAAGAAGAAGAAGAAAGGAGUAAGCCCUUAGUCCUACAAGAAAAAAAACUGCGAUCUACGAAGAUCCAACGGUCGAAUCCUCAAUCCGUUUUCGGAAACGUUAUCAUUGCACUCGGAUCUACGUUCUUACCGAUUGUUUUAAGAUAUUUGGGCUUAUUGGAGCUUACUUGAGGCUACCCAAACUUUGGGUUGAAGUUUGGUGAAUUUGGGCGGCACUUUGUGGAUUGAACCUAGGACUGGUUAGUGUUGGUGUGCAAGCAGUCAGUUUAGCAGAUGAUAGACCUCGUGAGGCGUCAGAUUCUGUUGAAUGACAUAAUCAGGAUUAAUUUUGAGGAGCUGGAUUCUGAGUGGCCGAAGGAUAUGUGGGACGGUGAUGGAGAUGAGUUACUCACUACAUUCUGAUCAAGAUUAUCUAUUUAGUUUAUCUUUUUAGGACUAAGCCUUGAAACUUGACGUUUAUAUGACUCUUAGAUUUUGUUUUGUAAUAUUCCUGUUAUGUUUUGAUGACUGGUCUUUAACUGUAACAUUUGUAGAUUUUGUUAUCUAUGUUAUGAUGUU